GUGAGUUUAUUGUAUCAAGAGAAAAAGGAGAAAAAAUAAAGAGGGGAAAACAAGAGCAAGGUCGAGGUGAAGCUGCGCUUGCCCCGGGGUAGCGACCCGACUAGCACCUCGGGGCGGGCAAUACAGUCGCUGGUGUAGCGACGAAGAGCGGCAGGCGAUUUAGUCGUUGGGUGGUGCAGCGACGAGGAGGAUCGGGCGAUACAGUCGUUGGUGUAGCGACAACUAGGAGCGGGCGAUAUAAUCGCUGGGAUGCAGCGACGACGAGGAGCAGGCAAUUGUCGUUCGAGCGGCGACAAGGAGGAUCGGGCAGUUGUUGUUCGGCGGAGCAGAGACAAGAAGGCGGUGAGGACGCAGUCGCAAGCGAGGCGACGGGUGAUUGUCGUUCGACGAAUCGACCUGGAGGAGGUUGACGGGAGCAGUAGUGCUGAGGUGCGAUACUAGAAGAUCUCGUCAAGAUCGUCGGUUCGGGGGUGCGAGGAAGAGGCGACAAAGUUGCGAGCUGUCGUCAAGGUGUGCACAUGAGUUCUUGUACGGUGCGUCCAAGAGUUCAGGUGUGUCAAUAUUCUGCUGCAGUUGAGAUGCGUCACUGGCGGAGGAGAAUUGCGAGCAAGAGCGGGCGGAAAAAGGAAUUCGUGCCUUGCGUUUCCGUUCGUGGUCGUGGAGUUCUGGCGAGUUCAUAUAUGGUGGACAUGAGUUGCACGUAUAUGGCGAGUUGUAUUGCCGCUGGACAGAGGUGUCGUUCGAUAAGAUGUGGCAUUGGCGACACUGAGAAGAAAAAAGAUGUGACGGGUGAAAAGAUGUGUCUCCCCGUGUGCAAGCAACCGAUUUGAAGAUGAAGAUCAACGUGAAGAGAACGCGCAUCAGUUAAGUUGAGUUCCUGCAUGAGGCUAUGUGUUUAGUCUGCGUGUAGCACGCUCAGAUGUGGCAGUGUGGCUGGUAGUCCGAGUAAAGCGUUGGAUUCAGUCAACAAGUCGGCAUGAAAAUAUGGUGAUGAAGUGGUGGCCAUGAAAAGAGAAGUUGUGGUCCGGUCCGGUUAGUCGCGUCACCGAAGGCAAUCGGCAUGACAAGAUGAAGAUAUGGUCGUCUGCAUGUUUGGUCAAGUAAAGAAACGCAUGUUUGGUCAAGUAAAGAAACGGGUGUUUGGAUUAGGAAGUGAUUGUUAGGUAAUCCAAACAAUACCCAGUUUAGUUUUAAGGCAUUUACUACUAAGUGGUCACCUAUGUGAUAAUAGUUGUGUUGCGUCAGAUAUAGUAGCUAAGUUUAGUAAAGGUGUGAUCAGCGUUGCUGGCUAAUUAGAUUAGGAAAAGGCAACCUGACUUAGUUUGUGUUUUAGUAAAAGUACUAGUCUUGUUCGGUUCGGAGUGCAGAAUAACUACAAGUCGGUUUGAGGUCCUGGGUCGGUUGGUGCAUAUAUAUAUGCACAACUAUUGCGUGAGUUUAUUGUAUCAAGAGAAAAAGGAGAAAAAAUAAAGAGGGGAAAACAUGGCACGAUACGGGCCCUUGGUUAUCA